GUAGGUGGCAAGCGUUGUCCGGAAUUAUUGGGCGUAAAGCGCGCGCAGGCGGUUCUUUAAGUCUGAUGUGAAAGCCCACGGCUCAACCGUGGAGGGUCAUUGGAAACUGGAGAACUUGAGUAACAGAAGAGGAAAGCGGAAUUCCACGUGUAGCGGUGAAAUGCGUAGAGAUGUGGAGGAACACCAGUGGCGAAGGCGGCUUUUCUGGUCUGUAACUGACGCUGAGGCGCGAAAGCGUGGGGAGCAAACAGGGAUUAGAUACCCUGGUAGUCCACGCCGUAAACGAUGAGUGCUAAGUGUUAGGGGGGUUUCCGCCCCCUUAGUGCUGCAGCUAACGCAUUAAGCACUCCGCCUGGGGAGUACGGCCGCAAGGCUG
rnacentral:rRNA from 1 species